AAUCAACGCUGGCGGCGUGCCUAACACAUGCAAGUCGAACGCGAAAUGGGCUUCGGCCCAAAUUGAGUGGCGAACGGGUGAGUAACACGUGGGUGAUCUACCUUCGAGCGGGGGAGUAACGUUCCGAAAGGAACGCUAAUACCGCAUGAAGUCCUGGGUUUGUAAGACCUGGAGACCAAAGCUAGGGACCGCAAGGCCUGGCACUUGAAGAGGAGCCCGCGUCCGAUUAGCUAGUUGGCGGGGUAACGGCCCACCAAGGCGACGAUCGGUAGCCGGCCUGAGAGGGCGGACGGCCACACUGGGACUGAGACACGGCCCAGACUCCUA
rnacentral:rRNA from 1 species